AAUCAACGCUGGCGGCGUGCCUCAGACAUGCAAGUCGAACGAGAAAGUUUCCUUCGGGGAAUGAGUAAAGUGGCGCACGGGUGAGUAACACGUAGGUAAUCUACCUUCGGGUGGGGAAUAACCCAGGGAAACUUGGGCUAACACCGCAUAAUGCAGCGGCACCACAUGGUGACAGUUGUUAAAGCGGGGGAUUUUAGGACCUCGCGCCUGAAGAGGAGCCUGCGGCGGAUUAGCUAGUUGGAAGGUAACGGCUUACCAAGGCGACGAUCCGUAACCGGCCUGAGAGGGCGGUCGGUCACACUGACACUGACAUACGGGUCAGACUCCUACGGGAGGCAGCAGUCGGGAAUUUUGGGCAAUGGGCGAAAGCCUGACCCAGCAACGCCGCGUGAAGGAUGAAAUCCCUCGGGAUGUAAACUCGCAAGAUUGGGAAGAAUUAGUAGGGGUUAAUACCCUCUAUGAUGACGGUACCUUUUGUAAGCUCGGCUAACUCCGUGCCAGCCGCCGCAGUAA
rnacentral:rRNA from 1 species